AACGCUAGCUACAGGCUUAACACAUGCAAGUCGAGGGGAAACGAUAUUGGAAGCUUGCUUCCGAUAGGCGUCGACCGGCGCACGGGUGAGUAACGCGUAUCCAACCUGCCCAUCACUUGGGGAUAACCUUGCGAAAGUAAGACUAAUACCCAGUGAUAUCUCUAGAAGACAUCUGAAAGAGAUUAAAGAUUUAUCGGUGAUGGAUGGGGAUGCGUCUGAUUAGCUUGUUGGCGGGGUAACGGCCCACCAAGGCAACGAUCAGUAGGGGUUCUGAGAGGAAGGUCCCCCACAUUGGAACUGAGACACGGUCCAAACUCCUACGGGAGGCAGCAGUGAGGAAUAUUGGUCAAUGGACGAGAGUCUGAACCAGCCAAGUAGCGUGAAGGAAGACUGCCCUAUGGGUUGUAAACUUCUUUUAUAAGGGAAUAAAGUGCCUUACGUGUAGGGUUUUGUAUGUACCUUAUGAAUAAGCAUCGGCUAAUUCCGUGCCAGCAGCCGCGGUAAUACGGAAGAUGCGAGCGUUAUCCGGAUUUAUUGGGUUUAAAGGGAGCGUAGGCCGGUCAUUAAGUCAGUUGUGAAAGUUUGCGGCUCAACCGUAAAAUUGCAGUUGAUACUGGUGACCUUGAGUGCGGCAGAGGCAGGCGGAAUUCGUGGUGUAGCGGUGAAAUGCUUAGAUAUCACGAAGAACUCCGAUUG
rnacentral:rRNA from 1 species